CACUGGCUGCCUGCAGUGCUGGCAAGACCUGAAGAGGCCGCAGAGGGAAAACUUUUACUUCUACCAGUUCCUCUCUCCUGCUAAUGGGAAGCUUGAAAUAACUGACCUGAAGGUGGUAGGAGGCAAGUACCGAGAGUCCACAGAACGAAUGGAGAUCUGAAAACUUGCCUCAAAUAAUUUUAAAAGAUUUUCCUAGCAACAUGAAUAAGUGAGAGGAAAAAAGAAUACAUUAGAGCCUGUGAAAAUCAUAAUACGCAUCUUACCACAUUCUGGAUCGUGGUGGUGGCUGCAUUCUGUGCAAUGGCAUUUUGUAGAAAGACCAGCAGCACAGCCAAGUUUGCACACUUCAUCUUCUCAGCAAACAGGAGCACAUAGACAACCUGGGCCACAUCAUCUUCCUAACCCUGCUUCUAAACUCAGAUGGGGUGAAAGCAGCUCAAGGUAG